AGUCGAACGGUGAAGGCGGAGCUUGCUCUGCUGGAUCAGUGGCGAACGGGUGAGUAACACGUGAGCAAUCUGCCCCUGACUCUGGGAUAAGCGCUGGAAACGGCGUCUAAUACUGGAUACGAGCUGCGAAGGCAUCUUCAGCAGCUGGAAAGAAUUUCGGUCAGGGAUGAGCUCGCGGCCUAUCAGCUUGUUGGUGAGGUAAUGGCUCACCAAGGCGUCGACGGGUAGCCGGCCUGAGAGGGUGACCGGCCACACUGGGACUGAGACACGGCCCAGACUCCUACGGGAGGCAGCAGUGGGGAAUAUUGCACAAUGGGCGAAAGCCUGAUGCAGCAACGCCGCGUGAGGGACGACGGCCUUCGGGUUGUAAACCUCUUUUAGCAGGGAAGAAGCGAAAGUGACGGUACCUGCAGAAAAAGCGCCGGCUAACUACGUGCCAGCAGCCGCGGUAAUACGUAGGGCGCAAGCGUUAUCCGGAAUUAUUGGGCGUAAAGAGCUCGUAGGCGGUUUGUCGCGUCUGCUGUGAAACCCCGAGGCUCAACCUCGGGCCUGCAGUGGGUACGGGCAGACUAGAGUGCGGUAGAGGAGAUUGGAAUUCCUGGUGUAGCGGUGGAAUGCGCAGAUAUCAGGAGGAACACCGAUGGCGAAGGCAGAUCUCUGGGCCGUAACUGACGCUGAGGAGCGAAAGGGUGGGGAGCAAACAGGCUUAGAUACCCUGGUAGUCCACCCCGUAAACGUUGGGAACUAGUUGUGGGGUCCAUUCCACGGAUUCCGUGACGCAGCUAACGCAUUAAGUUCCCCGCCUGGGGAGUACGGCCGCAAGGCUAAAACUCAAAGGAAUUGACGGGGACCCGCACAAGCGGCGGAGCAUGCGGAUUAAUUCGAUGCAACGCGAAGAACCUUACCAAGGCUUGACAUGUACGAGAACG
rnacentral:rRNA from 1 species